GACGAACGCUGGCGGCGCGCCUAACACAUGCAAGUCGAACGAGAGAUGAGGAGCUUGCUCUUCAGAUCGAGUGGCGAACGGGUGAGUAACGCGUGAGGAACCUGCCUCAAAGAGGGGGACAACAGUUGGAAACGACUGCUAAUACCGCAUAAGCCCACGGCUCGGCAUCGAGCAGAGGGAAAAGGAGCAAUCCGCUUUGAGAUGGCCUCGCGUCCGAUUAGCUAGUUGGUGAGGUAACGGCCCACCAAGGCGACGAUCGGUAGCCGGACUGAGAGGUUGAACGGCCACAUUGGGACUGAGACACGGCCCAGACUCCUACGGGAGGCAGCAGUGGGGAAUAUUGCACAAUGGGGGAAACCCUGAUGCAGCGACGCCGCGUGGAGGAAGAAGGUCUUCGGAUUGUAAACUCCUGUUGUUGAGGAAGAUAAUGACGGUACUCAACAAGGAAGUGACGGCUAACUACGUGCCAGCAGCCGCGGUAAAACGUAGGUCACAAGCGUUGUCCGGAAUUACUGGGUGUAAAGGGAGCGCAGGCGGGAGAACAAGUUGGAAGUGAAAUCCAUGGGCUCAACCCAUGAACUGCUUUCAAAACUGUUUUUCUUGAGUAGUGCAGAGGUAGGCGGAAUUCCCGGUGUAGCGGUGGAAUGCGUAGAUAUCGGGAGGAACACCAGUGGCGAAGGCGGCCUACUGGGCACCAACUGACGCUGAGGCUCGAAAGUGUGGGUAGCAAACAGGAUUAGAUACCCUGGUAGUCCACACCGUAAACGAUGAUUACUAGGUGUUGGAGGAUUGACCCCUUCAGUGCCGCAGUUAACACAAUAAGUAAUCCACCUGGGGAGUACGACCGCAAGGUUGAAACUCAAAGGAAUUGACGGGGGCCCGCACAAGCAGUGGAGUAUGUGGUUUAAUUCGACGCAACGCGAAGAACCUUACCAAGUCUUGACAUCCUGCGACGCACAUAGAAAUAUGUGUUUCCUUCGGGACGCAGAGACAGGUGGUGCAUGGUUGUCGUCAGCUCGUGUCGUGAGAUGUUGGGUUAAGUCCCGCAACGAGCGCAACCCUUAUGGUCAGUUACUACGCAAGAGGACUCUGGCCAGACUGCCGUUGACAAAACGGAGGAAGGUGGGGAGGACGUCAAAUCAUCAUGCCCUCUAUGACUUGGGCUACACACGUACUACAAUGGCGUUAAACAUAGAGAAGCAAGACCGCGAGGUGGAGCAAAACUCAGAAACAACGUCCCAGUUCGGACUGCAGGCUGCAACUCGCCUGCACGAAGUCGGAAUUGCUAGUAAUCGUGGAUCAGCAUGCCACGGUGAAUACGUUCCCGGGCCUUGCACA
rnacentral:rRNA from 1 species